AAAUGAAUAGACGGGGACCCGCACAAGCGGUGGAGCAUGUGGUUUAAUUCGAAGCAACGCGAAGAACCUUACCAAGUCUUGACAUCUCCCUGACAGAGUAUGUAAUGUACUUUUCCUUCGGGACAGGGAAGACAGGUGGUGCAUGGUUGUCGUCAGCUCGUGUCGUGAGAUGUUGGGUUAAGUCCCGCAACGAGCGCAACCCUUAUCCUCAGUAGCCAGCGGUUCGGCCGGGCACUCUGUGGAGACUGCCAGGGAUAACCUGGAGGAAGGUGGGGAUGACGUCAAAUCAUCAUGCCCCUUAUGACUUGGGCUACACACGUGCUACAAUGGCGUAAACAAAGGGAAGCGAGAGAGCGAUCUGGAGCAAAUCCCAAAAAUAACGUCCCAGUUCGGAUUGUAGUCUGCAACUCGACUACAUGAAGCUGGAAUCGCUAGUAAUCGCGAAUCAGAAUGUCGCGGUGAAUACGUUCCCGGGUCUUGUACACACCGCCCGU
rnacentral:rRNA from 1 species